rnacentral:rRNA from 1 species
UACGUAGGGUGCGAGCGUUAAUCGGAAUUACUGGGCGUAAAGCGUGCGCAGGCGGUUUUGUAAGCCAGAUGUGAAAGCCCCGGGCUUAACCUGGGAAUGGCAUUUGGGACUGCAAGGCUUGAGUGCGGCAGAGGAGACUGGAAUUCCUGGUGUAGCAGUGAAAUGCAUAGAUAUCAGGAGGAAUACCGAUGGCGAAGGCAGGUCUCUGGGCUGACACUGACGCUCAUGCACGAAAGCGUGGGGAGCAAACAGG